AAAUUGAAGAGUUUGAUCAUGGCUCAGAUUGAACGCUGGCGGCAGGCCUAACACAUGCAAGUCGAACGGUAACAGGAAGCAGCUUGCUGCUUCGCUGACGAGUGGCGGACGGGUGAGUAAUGUCUGGGAAACUGCCUGAUGGAGGGGGAUAACUACUGGAAACGGUGGCUAAUACCGCAUAACGUCGCAAGACCAAAGAGGGGGACCUUCGGGCCUCUUGCCAUCAGAUGUGCCCAGAUGGGAUUAGCUUGUUGGUGAGGUAACGGCUCACCAAGGCGACGAUCCCUAGCUGGUCUGAGAGGAUGACCAGCCACACUGGAACUGAGACACGGUCCAGACUCCUACGGGAGGCAGCAGUGGGGAAUAUUGCACAAUGGGCGCAAGCCUGAUGCAGCCAUGCCGCGUGUAUGAAGAAGGCCUUCGGGUUGUAAAGUACUUUCAGCGGGGAGGAAGGUGUUGCGGUUAAUAACCGCAGCAAUUGACGUUACCCGCAGAAGAAGCACCGGCUAACUCCGUGCCAGCAGCCGCGGUAAUACGGAGGGUGCAAGCGUUAAUCGGAAUUACUGGGCGUAAAGCGCACGCAGGCGGUCUGUCAAGUCGGAUGUGAAAUCCCCGGGCUCAACCUGGGAACUGCAUUCGAAACUGGCAGGCUUGAGUCUUGUAGAGGGGGGUAGAAUUCCAGGUGUAGCGGUGAAAUGCGUAGAGAUCUGGAGGAAUACCGGUGGCGAAGGCGGCCCCCUGGACAAAGACUGACGCUCAGGUGCGAAAGCGUGGGGAGCAAACAGGAUUAGAUACCCUGGUAGUCCACGCCGUAAACGAUGUCUACUUGGAGGUUGUGCCCUUGAGGCGUGGCUUCCGGAGCUAACGCGUUAAGUAGACCGCCUGGGGAGUACGGCCGCAAGGUUAAAACUCAAAUGAAUUGACGGGGGCCCGCACAAGCGGUGGAGCAUGUGGUUUAAUUCGAUGCAACGCGAAGAACCUUACCUGGUCUUGACAUCCACAGAAGAAUCCAGAGAUGGAUUGGUGCCUUCGGGAACUGUGAGACAGGUGCUGCAUGGCUGUCGUCAGCUCGUGUUGUGAAAUGUUGGGUUAAGUCCCGCAACGAGCGCAACCCUUAUCCUUUGUUGCCAGCGAUUAGGUCGGGAACUCAAAGGAGACUGCCAGUGAUAAACUGGAGGAAGGUGGGGAUGACGUCAAGUCAUCAUGGCCCUUACGACCAGGGCUACACACGUGCUACAAUGGCGCAUACAAAGAGAAGCGACCUCGCGAGAGCAAGCGGACCUCAUAAAGUGCGUCGUAGUCCGGAUUGGAGUCUGCAACUCGACUCCAUGAAGUCGGAAUCGCUAGUAAUCGUGGAUCAGAAUGCCACGGUGAAUACGUUCCCGGGCCUUGUACACACCGCCCGUCACACCAUGGGAGUGGGUUGCAAAAGAAGUAGGUAGCUUAACCUUCGGGAGGGCGCUUACCACUUUGUGAUUCAUGACUGGGGUGAAGUCGUAACAAGGUAACCGUAGGGGAACCUGCGGUUGGA
rnacentral:rRNA from 1 species